rnacentral:rRNA from 1 species
GACGAAGGAUGCAAGCGUUAUCCGGAUUCAUUGGGUUUAAAGGGAGCGUAGGUGGCCUUAUAAGUCAGUGGUGAAAUCUCUGGGCUUAACCCAGAAAUUGCCAUUGAUACUGUAGGGCUUGAGUAUAGUUGCCGUUGGCGGAAUAUGACAUGUAGUGGUGAAAUACAUAGAGAUGUCAUAGAACACCGAUUGCGAAGGCAGCUAACGAAACUAUAACUGACACUGAGGCUCGAAAAGUGUGGGGAUCAAACAGG